AGAACAACCCAAGGGAAAAACAAAAUCACCAAAGAAGGAGCCUUCAGCUCUGAGUGACAAACAAGUAAAAGCAAAAACUGAAAAAGCCAAAGAAGAAAUUGGUGCUGCUUCAACUAAGAAAGCUGUACCUGGGAAGAAAGAAG